GAUGAACGCUGGCGGCGUGCCUAAUACAUGCAAGUCGAGCGAACAGACGAGGAGCUUGCUCCUCUGACGUUAGCGGCGGACGGGUGAGUAACACGUGGAUAACCUACCUAUAAGACUGGGAUAACUUCGGGAAACCGGAGCUAAUACCGGAUAAUAUAUUGAACCGCAUGGUUCAAUAGUGAAAGACGGUUUUGCUGUCACUUAUAGAUGGAUCCGCGCCGCAUUAGCUAGUUGGUAAGGUAACGGCUUACCAAGGCAACGAUGCGUAGCCGACCUGAGAGGGUGAUCGGCCACACUGGAACUGAGACACGGUCCAGAGUCCUACGGGAGGCAGCAGUAGGGAAUCUUCCGCAAAGGGCGAAAGCUUGACGGAGCAACGCCGCGUGAGUGAUGAAGGUCUUCGGAUCGUAAAACUCUGUUAUUAGGGAAGAACAAAUGUGUAAGUAACUAUGCACGUCUUGACGGUACCUAAUCAGAAAGCCACGGCUAACUACGUG
rnacentral:rRNA from 1 species